GGGCACAUGGUGUAGAUGGUUAUCACGCCCGCUUAGCAUAGUACCCCUAUCUUCUUCACGUCUGCGGGCGGUCCCCGGUUCAAGUCCGGGUGUGUCCA